GACGAACGCUGGCGGCGUGCCUAAUACAUGCAAGUCGAGCGAAGUUUUUCUGGUGCUUGCACCGGAAAAACUUAGCGGCGAACGGGUGAGUAACACGUAAAGAACCUGCCUUAUAGACUAGGACAACUAUUGGAAACGAUAGCUAAUACCGGAUAACAGCAUUAACUGCAUGGUUGAUGUUUGAAAGUUGGUUUUGCUAACACUAUGAGAUGGCUUUGCGGUGCAUUAGCUAGUUGGUGGGGUAAAGGCCUACCAAGGCGACGAUGCAUAGCCGACCUGAGAGGGUGAUCGGCCACACUGGGACUGAGACACGGCCCAGACUCCUACGGGAGGCAGCAGUAGGGAAUCUUCCGCAAUGGGCGAAAGCCUGACGGAGCAACGCCGCGUGAGUGAAGAAGGAUUUCGGUUCGUAAAGCUCUGUUGUUAGGGAAGAAUGAUUGUGUAGUAACUAUACACAGUAGAGACGGUACCUAACCAGAAAGCCACGGCUAACUACGUG
rnacentral:rRNA from 1 species